UGCGUAGGCGGCUUUGCAAGUCAGAUGUGAAAUCUAUGGGCUCAACCCAUAAACUGCAUUUGAGACUGUAGAGCUUGAGUGAAGUAGAGGCAGGCGGAAUUCCCCGUGUAGCGGUGAAAUGCGUAGAGAUGGGGGAGGAACACCAGUGGCGAAGGCGGCCUGCUGGGCUUUAACUGACGCUGAGGCAAGACUGGGUAGCAACA
rnacentral:rRNA from 1 species